rnacentral:rRNA from 1 species
GUCCACGCCCUAAACGAUGAUGACUAGUUGUUGGAGGAGUUAAAUCCUUUAGUAACGCAGCUAACGCGUGAAGUCAUCCGCCUGGGGAGUACGGUCGCAAGAUUAAAACUCAAAGGAAUUGACGGGGGCCCGCACAAGCGGUGGAUGAUGUGGUUUAAUUCGAUGCAACGCGAAAAACCUUACCUACCCUUGACAUGUCAGGAACGCUGCAGAAAUGCAGCGGUGCCCGAAAGGGAACCUGAACACAGGUGCUGCAUGACUGUCGU